UGGCAGGCAGGAGGUCCUCAGAAGGU
rnacentral:piRNA from 1 species